AAGAAAGAGGGCCUGUGGUUGGCAGUAUAGCUUGAAACUAUUAGCAGGGGGUUCGAUUCCCUCCUUUCUUG
rnacentral:tRNA from 1 species